rnacentral:rRNA from 1 species
UGAAGCGGCAAAAGCUCAAAUUUGAAAUCUGGUACCUUCGGUGCCCGAGUUGUAAUUUGGAGAGGGCAACUUUGGGGCCGUUCCUUGUCUAUGUUCCUUGGAACAGGACGUCAUAGAGGGUGAGAAUCCCGUGUGGCGAGGAGUGCGGUUCUUUGUAAAGUGCCUUCGAAGAGUCGAGUUGUUUGGGAAUGCAGCUCUAAGUGGGUGGUAAAUUCCAUCUAAAGCUAAAUAUUGGCGAGAGACCGAUAGCGAACAAGUACAGUGAUGGAAAGAUGAAAAGAACUUUGAAAAGAGAGUGAAAAAGUACGUGAAAUUGUUGAAAGGGAAGGGCAUUUGAUCAGACAUGGUGUUUUGUGCCCUCUGCUCCUUGUGGGUAGGGGAAUCUCGCAUUUCACUGGGCCAGCAUCAGUUUUGGUGGCAGGAUAAAUCCAUAGGAAUGUAGCUUGCCUCGGUAAGUAUUAUAGCCUGUGGGAAUACUGCCAGCUGGGACUGAGGACUGCGACGUAAGUCAAGGAUGCUGGCAUAAUGGUUAUA